rnacentral:lncRNA from 1 species
GCUCUCUUUUCAAUUCAUAAAUUUUGGUCCUAUUGGCAGUACCAUAACGUGCCUGAAGUUGUGACCAUAUACUUUCAGCAGUAUCAGAAUAAUGCAUGGACUCAGCAAUCGCAGGAGAAAUAGAAGCAGUUAGCCAAGAAAUUACCAUACUAUUACACCUAUCUCAUAAUCUCUGUUGAGCCACAUUAGUGGCUGGUCGAGGACAGGUUCC